rnacentral:rRNA from 1 species
UACGUAGGGUGCGAGCGUUGUCCGGAAUUAUUGGGCGUAAAGGGCUCGUAGGCGGUCUGUUGCGUCAGGAGUGAAAACUCGGGGCUUAACCCCGAGCCUGCUUCUGAUACGGGCAGACUAGAGGUAUGCAGGGGAGAACGGAAUUCCUGGUGUAGCGGUGAAAUGCGCAGAUAUCAGGAGGAACACCGGUGGCGAAGGCGGUUCUCUGGGCAUUACCUGACGCUGAGAAGCGAAAGCAUGGGGAGCGAACAGG